GAGCGGCAACAGAGGUGCUUGCACCUGCAGACGAGCGGCGGACGGAUGAGUAACACGUUGGUACUUGCCUCUAACUCAGGGAUAAGCACGGGAAACUGUGUCUAAUACCGGAUACCCCAGAAAUGGGAAAGCUUUUGCGGUUAGAGAGAGGCCUGCGGUCCAUUAGCUAGUUGGUGAGGUAAUAGCUCACCAAGGCUAUGAUGGAUACCUGGUGUGAGAGCACGACCAGGCAGAGUGGGACUGAGACACGGCCCACACUCCUACGGGAGGCAGCAGUGAGGAAUCUUCCGCAAUGGACGAAAGUCUGACGGAGCAAUCUCGCGUGCAGGAUGACACCUUUCGGGGCGUAAACUGCUNUUAUGAGGGAAGAAAUCUGACGGUACCUCAUGAAUAAGAGACGGCUACUACGUGCCAGCAGCCGC
rnacentral:rRNA from 1 species